rnacentral:rRNA from 1 species
UACGAACCGUGCGAGCGUUGUUCGGAAUUACUGGGCGUAAAGGGCUCGUAGGCGGCCAACUAAGUCAUACGUGAAAUCCCUCGGCUUAACCGGGGAACUGCGUCUGAUACUGGAUGGCUUGAGAUUGGGAGAGGGAUGCGGAAUUCCAGGUGUAGCGGUGAAAUGCGUAGAUAUCUGGAGGAACACCGGUGGCGAAGGCGGCAUCCUGGACCAACACUGACGCUGAGGAGCGAAAGCCAGGGGAGCAAACGGG